CCUCCUUAAAAAAUAAAUCGUUUAGGAUAGGCGUUCACACGAAUAACUUGCUUUUACCUAAAUCAUUUCUUUACAGAUUUGAGAUUACGGAGCGUUCUUUAACAUUUUUAUAAGUUCAAUCAAGUCGCAUCAUAGUGUCUUUAUUUUUAUAAUUUAGAUAUGAAUGAUGUGCAAAUGUCACCAAACCCGUCAUGUUUUAGAACAUAAGUUUGGUGUACAUACUGCAAAGUAAUUUUGGCGAAUGACAAUAGAUACUUGAAGAACAUUAAUCAUUAAGUUGUUGAUGUAAUAUGGUCAAGUAAUUAAGCGCAUACGGUGGAUGCCUA
rnacentral:misc_RNA from 1 species